rnacentral:sRNA from 1 species
UUUGUAACAAAACAAGCGGCGUGUGC